UGUACUCCUCCGCCGAUGACGGCAGGAAG
rnacentral:sRNA from 1 species